rnacentral:rRNA from 1 species
GUCGAACGGUGAUCUCAGCGCUUGCGUUGGGUGAUCAGUGGCGAACGGGUGAGUAACACGUGAGUAACCUGCCCUUGACUCUGGGAUAACUCCGGGAAACCGGUGCUAAUACUGGAUAUGACUGCUUGCCGCAUGGUGGGUGGUGGAAAGUUUUUCGGUCAGGGAUGGACUCGCGGCCUAUCAGCUUGUUGGUGGGGUGAUGGCCUACCAAGGCGACGACGGGUAGCCGGCCUGAGAGGGUGACCGGCCACACUGGGACUGAGACACGGCCCAGACUCCUACGGGAGGCAGCAGUGGGGAAUAUUGCACAAUGGGCGCAAGCCUGAUGCAGCGACGCCGCGUGAGGGAUGACGGCCUUCGGGUUGUAAACCUUUUUCAGCUCUGAAGAAGCGUGAGUGACGGUAGGAGCAGAAGAAGCACCGACUAACUACGUGCCAGCAGCCGCGGUAAUACGUAGGGUGCGAGCGUUGUCCGGAAUUAUUGGGCGUAAAGAGCUUGUAGGCGGUUUGUCGCGUCUGCUGUGAAAACUCGGGGCUCAACCCUGAGCGUGCAGUGGGUACGGGCAGACUAGAGUGUGGUAGGGGAGACUGGAAUUCCUGGUGUAGCGGUGGAAUGCGCAGAUAUCAGGAGGAACACCGAUGGCGAAGGCAGGUCUCUGGGCCAUAACUGACGCUGAGAAGCGAAAGCAUGGGGAGCGAACAGGAUUAGAUACCCUGGUAGUCCAUGCCGUAAACGUUGGGCACUAGGUGUGGGCCUCAUUCCACGAGGUCCGUGCCGCAGCUAACGCAUUAAGUGCCCCGCCUGGGGAGUACGGCCGCAAGGCUAAAACUCAAAGGAAUUGACGGGGGCCCGCACAAGCGGCGGAGCAUGCGGAUUAAUUCGAUGCAACGCGAAGAACUUUACCAAGGCUUGACAUGUACCGGAAACGCUCAAAGAUGGGUGCCCGCAGGUCGGUACCCAGUGGGUGCAUGGUGUCGUCAGCUCGUGUCGUGAAAUGUUGGGUAAGUCCCGGACGAGCGCACCUUGUUCAAGGUUGCAG